CCCGCUGAACUUAAGCAUAUCAAUAAGCGGAGGAAAAGAAACUAACAAGGAUUCCCCUAGUAACUGCGAGUGAAGCGGGAAAAGCUCAAAUUUGAAAUCUGGCGGCUUUGCCGUCCGAGUUGUAACCUAGAGAAGCGUUAUCUGCCGCCGGCCGUGGACAAGUCCCUUGGAACAGGGCGUCAUAGAGGGUGAGAAUCCCGUCCUUGCCACGCUCCCGGUGUCUCUGUGAGGCGCUCUCGAAGAGUCGAGUUGUUUGGGAAUGCAGCUCAAAACGGGUGGUAAACUCCAUCUAAAGCUAAAUAUUGGCGAGAGACCGAUAGCGAACAAGUACCGUGAGGGAAAGAUGAAAAGCACUUUGGAAAGAGAGUUAAACAGUACGUGAAAUUGCUGAAAGGGAAGCGCUUGAAGUCAGUCGCGUCCGCAGGGAUUCAACCUUGACCGGUGCAUUUCCUUGCGGAUGGGCCAACAUCGACUUUGGCCGAGGAAAAAGGACACGAGGAAUGUGGCACCUUCGGGUGUGUUAUAGCCUCGCGUCGCACGCCUCGGCUGGGGUCGAGGACCGCAGCCUCUGGCUUAGGAUGUUGGCGUAAUGGCUUUAAACGACCCGUCUUGAAACACGG
rnacentral:rRNA from 1 species